rnacentral:rRNA from 1 species
GGCUUAAGCGUGUGUAGGCGGAUCGUUAAGUGCCUUGUGAAAUCCCACGGCUUAACUGUGGAACGGCUGGGCAUACUGGCGGUCUUGAGCCAUCUAGGGGCGACUGGAACAAACGGUGGAGCGGUGAAAUGCGUAGAUAUCGUUUGGAACGCCAAUGGUGAAAACAGGUCGCUGGGGAUGAGCUGACGCUGAGACACGAAAGCCAGGGGAGCAAACGGGAUUAGAUACCCCGGUAGUCCUGGCCCUAAACGAUGUCCACUAGAUCAUGGUUCCUCUGACGGAUUCAUGGUCGAAGCAAAAGUGCUAAGUGGACCGCCUGGGAAGUACGGUCGCAAGGCUAAAACUCAAAGGAAUUGACGGGGGCUCACACAAGCGGUGGAGCAUGUGGUUCAAUUCGAAGCAACGCGCAGAACCUUACCUGGGCUUGACAUGCUUGGAUUAUCCCUAUGAAAGUAGGGUAGGCCCUUCGGGGUACAACAAGUACAGGUGCUGCAUGGCUGUCGUCAGCUCGUGUCGUGAGAUGUCGGGUUAAGUCCCAUAACGAGCGAAACCUUUGCCCUUAGUUACCAGCGGGUUAAGCCGGGGACUCUAAGGGGACUGCCGGUGUCAAACCGGAGGAAGG